AAUCCAUGGAUCGGACAUUUCUAAAUUAAAUCUUUAAAUCAUUCCCAAGCUUCAUAUAAUGUUUCAUCAUCUAACUGCCAAAAAGAUGUGAUGUCAUUUUUAAGCUU
rfam:Gossypium hirsutum cultivar TM-1 unplaced genomic scaffold scaffold1834.1, whole genome shotgun sequence